GAUGAACGCUGGCGGCGUGCUUAACACAUGCAAGUCGAACGAGAAAUGGAGACGGAAACCUUCGGGCGGAAGGCUUCAUUUCGAGUGGCGGACGGGUGAGUAACGCGUGGGUAACCUGCCUCAUACAGGGGGAUAACAGUUUGAAACGACUGUUAAUACCGCAUAAGACCACAGCACCGCAUGGUGCGGGGGUAAAAACUCCGGUGGUAUGAGAUGGACCCGCGUUCGAUUAGCCAGUUGGCGGGGUAACGGCCCACCAAAGCGACGAUCGAUAGCCGAUCUGAGAGGAUGACCGGCCACAUUGGGACUGAGACACGGCCCAAACUCCUACGGGAGGCAGCAGUGGGGAAUAUUGCACAAUGGGGGAAACCCUGAUGCAGCGACGACGCGUGAGUGAAGAAGUACUUCGGUAUGUAAAGCUCUAUCAGCAGGGAAGAAAAUGACGGUACCUGAGUAAGAAGCCCCGGCUAACUACGUG
rnacentral:rRNA from 1 species